GACGAACGCUGGCGGCGUGCUUAACACAUGCAAGUCGAACGGUGAAGCGCCUUCCUUUUUGGUGGGUGUGGAUGAGUGGCGAACGGGUGAGUAACACGUGAGUAACCUGCCCCCUUCUUCUGGAUAACCGCAUGAAAGUGUGGCUAAUACGGGAUAUUCUGGGUCUGUCGCAUGAUGGGUCUGGGAAAGGUUUUUUUCUGGUGGGGGAUGGGCUCGCGGCCUAUCAGCUUGUUGGUGGGGUGAUGGCCUACCAAGGCGGUGACGGGUAGCCGGCCUGAGAGGGUGGACGGUCACACUGGGACUGAGACACGGCCCAGACUCCUACGGGAGGCAGCAGUGGGGAAUAUUGCACAAUGGGCGCAAGCCUGAUGCAGCGACGCCGCGUGAGGGAUGGAGGCCUUCGGGUUGUGAACCUCUUUCGCCAGUGAAGCAGGCCUGCCUCGUUUGUGGG
rnacentral:rRNA from 1 species